rnacentral:rRNA from 1 species
GAAAGUAGAAAAGGGCGCAAGGUGGAUGCCUUGGCUCACGGAGGCGAUGAAGGACGUGAUAAGCUGCGAUAAGCUUCGGGUAGGUGCAAAUAACCUUUGAUCCGAGGAUUUCCGAAUGGGACAACCCGGCCGUCUGAAGGACGGUCACUAUGCAAUAGCAUAGGGCAAACGCAGGGAACUGAAACAUCUUAGUACCUGCAGGAAGAGAAAAUAAGUUAAUGAUUCCCCCAGUAGUGGCGAGCGAACGGGGAAGAGCCCAAACCAUGACUGUGGCAACGCAGCCAUGGGGUUGUAGGACCACGCUGUAGCAAGAUACUUGUGAGAAGAACGUUCUGGAAAGAACGGCCAUAGACGGUGACAGCCCGGUAAUCGAAGCAAGUAGAAGCUUAGUGGUAUCCUGAGUAACGCGGAACACGAGAAAUUCUGCGCGAAUCCGCCGGGACCAUCCGGUAAGGCUAAAUACUCCCGUGAGACCGAUAGCGAACCAGUACCGUGAGGGAAAGGUGAAAAGAACCCCGAGCAGGGGAGUGAAAGAGAUCCUGAACCCUUGCGCCUACAAGCGGUCGGAGCUGCCUAUGGCAGUGACGGCGUGCCUUUUGCAUAAUGAACCUACGAGUUACCAUCACAGGCAAGGUUAAGUCUCACGAGAGACGCAACCGCAGUGAAAGCGAGGCUGAAGAGGCCGUCGAGUCUGUGGGGGUAGACGCGAAACCAAGUGAUCUACACUUGUCCAGGUUGAAGUCCCGGUAACACGGGAUGGAGGACCGAACCAAUAAGCGUUGAAAAGCUUCUGGAUGAGAUGAGUGUAGGAGUGAAAGGCCAAUCAAACUUGGAGAUAGCUCGUACUCCCCGAAAGGCAUUUAGGUGCCGCGUCGGAUGUUCAGCGUGAGAGGUAGAGCGACCGAUAGGACAAGAGGGCUUCACCGCCUAUCGAGUCCUGACGAACUCCGAAUGCUCACGCUCCGCAGUCCGGCAGUAAGGGGACGGGUGCUAAGGUCCGUUCCCGAGAGGAGAAGAAUCCAGACCGCCGUCUAAGGUCCCGGAAUUCUGUCUAAGUUAGUCUAACGAAGUGGGGUCUCAGUGACAGCCAGGAUGUUGGCUUGGAAGCAGCCAUUCAUUCAAAGAGUGCGUAACAGCUCACUGGUCGAGAGUCCCUGCAUGGAUAAUAAUCGGGUAUAAGACAGAUACCGAAGGCGCGGGAUAGCAUUAGAAAAAGUAUCGGUAGGGGAGCAUUCCAUAUCCGUCGAAUGGUGCGGGUAACUGAUCCUGGAGGAUAUGGAAAAGCAAAUGUAGGUAUAAGUAACGAUAAGGAGGGUAAGAUUCCCUCCCGCCGCAAGACUAAGGUUUCCCGGGCAAUGUCAAUCAUCCCGGGGUCAGUCGGGUCCUAAGUCUCAGCCGAACGGCGAGGGCGAUGGCAGACACGGUCAACAUUCCGUGACUACCUUUAGGAGCGAUGCGGAGACGGAGCAGUGACACUUCCGCGAGCCGACGGAAUGGCUCGUUGAAGAGUGUAGGCGUUGAUCACGGCAGGCAAAUCCGCCGUGAGAGCCGAACUUGAAAGUACAGGGUCCUCUUCGGAGGAACUUGAUAGCGAGGGUAAGCAUACUCCCGAGAAAAUCCGCUAAGCAAUCCUAAAGGUACCCGUACCGUAAACGGACACACGUAGUCGGGUAGAACAUACUAAGGCGUUGAGAGAUUCAUGGUUAAGGAACUAGGCAAACUGACCCCGUAACUUCGGGAUAAGGGGUCCUCGUGAAAGCGAGGCGCAGAGAAUAGGUCCAGGCAACUGUUUAACAAAAACACAGGGCUGUGCGAACUCGAAAGAUGAAGUAUACAGCCUGACACCUGCCCGGUGCCGGAAGGUUAAGAGGAGAUGUCAACCUCAAGGCGAAGCAUUGAAUUGAAGCCCCGGUAAACGGCGGCCGUAACAAUAACGGUCCUAAGGUAGCGAAAUUCCUUGUCGGGUAAGUUCCGACCUGCACGAAUGGUGUAAUGAUCUGGACACUGUCUCAACCGUGAGCUCAGUGAAAUUGUAGUAUCGGUGAAGAUGCCGAUUACCCGCGAUGGGACGAAAAGACCCCGUGAACCUUUACUACAGCUUAGCAUUGACCUUGGUCAUCCGAUGUGUAGGAUAGGCCGGAGGCUUUGAAGCGGCGUCGCCAGGCGUUGUGGAGCCAUCCUUGAAAUACGGCCCUUUGGCUGUCUGAGGUCUAACUCGCAAGUGCGAGGACACUGUUUGGUGGGUAGUUUGACUGGGGUGGUCGCCUCCAAAAGCGUAACGGAGGCUUCCAAAGGUGCCCU